AUCAUCAGCCCAUCGUAUGUCUCAUAGAAUGUAAAUAUAUGUCCUCGCCUUAAAAAGCGUUGAUAAACUUAUACAACUUUCAGCAACGGAUCUCUUGGCUCUCGCAUCGAUGAAGAACGCAGCGAAAUGCGAUAAGUAAUGUGAAUUGCAGAUUUUCAGUGAAUCAUCGAAUCUUUGAACGCACCUUGCGCUCCUUGGUAUUCCGAGGAGCAUGCCUGUUUGAGUGUCAUUAAAUUCUCAACUCCGAUCGAUUUGUUUCGACUUCGGAGCUUGGAUUUUGGAGCGUGCUGGCGUCGGUCGGCUCCUCUUAAAUGCAUCAGCGGAAUCUAACGUUUCGGAUGUCAGUGUGAUAAUCAUGUUGCGCUGUCUGUCUGAUCCGAAAGCCCGCUCACAAUGGUCUUCGGACAACUUCAUAUCAAAUUUGACCUCAAAUCAGGUAGGACUACCC
rnacentral:rRNA from 1 species